GACGAACGCUGGCGGCGUGCCUAACACAUGCAAGUCAACUUGAGGGAAGGAGCAAUCUGACCUGAUGGUGGCGCAAGGGUGCGUAACGCGUAAGUAACUUGCCCAAGGUAAGGAAUAACGUCGAGAAAUCGGCGCUAAUACCUCAUAAUGCAGCGGAUCCGCAUGGAUAUGUUGUUAAAGGUUUACCGCCUUGGGGUAGGCUUGCGUCUGAUUAGCUAGUUGGUGUGGUAAUGGCACACCAAGGCUACGAUCAGUAACUGGUCUGAGAGGAUGAUCAGUCACACUGGAACUGAGACACGGUCCAGACUCCUACGGGAGGCAGCAGUGAGGAAUA
rnacentral:rRNA from 1 species